AAGCUUUUGGAAGAGAACUGCUUAAUUAUAUUAUUAAUAGACGACAUUUAUAUAGAUACAAACCUAACAGAGUUCUCUACGUUGCAGGAAGACUAAUCCUUUAGAAAUACAAGUUGUUGCAGUAAUGGAGUCCUAAUGAAUAACAAACUGUAAGAGCAGUAAUGAAGUCCUAAUGAAUAACAAACUGUAAGAGCUAUACAUUGAUUUAUCAUGCCCCCUCAAGAUGGACCACGAUCGGAGAGGCCAAUCUUGUCACGAAACAAAUGAAAUGUAGACGUAGACAGGGGUUUGGUCAGAAGGUCCGCAAGUUGAUCAGCAGAUGAAACGUGAGUUACACGUAACUGACCAGAUUGAACUUGAUCGCGAAUGAAAUGGUAGUCGACUGCAACAUGUUUCAUGCGAGAAUGAAAAAUAGGAUUGGAACUUAAUUGAGUUGCUCCUAUGUUAUCACAGUAUAUCACAGGUGAGGAAGACAGAGCAACACCAAGUUCAUGAAGUAGAGAUUGUACCCAACAGAGUUCAGCAGCAGUGGCAGCAACGGAGCGAUACUCAGCCUCUGUUGAAGACCUGGCAAUGGUCUUUUGUUUCUUUGAACUCCAAGAAAUUAAAUUACUUCCAAGAUAAACUAGAUAAGCACUAGUGGAUGAAUAAUCAUCUUUAUUGCCAGCCCAAUCGGCAUCUGAAAAGGCAUGAAGUUGAUCAGCGAAGUCAUGAAGAUUGGAGGGCGAGUCACGGUGCAGAAGAAGGCCUUUGUUUAGUGUACCAACAAGGUAUCGCAGAAUUCGUUUAACAAGUAUCCAGUGAUCAUCGGUUGGGCUGUGCAUGAAUUGAGACAGUUUGUUCACAGCAAAGGACACAUCUGGUCUUGUAAGUGAAAGAUACUGAAGGCUCCCUACCACUUCACGAUAAAUUGUGGGAUUCUGUAGCGGUGAACCAGACAACAAUGAAAUAGCAGAGGCAGAGCUUGGAAUCGGAGUGAGCACUGGUUUUGCGUCCAACAUGUUGAGACGAGUUAGCAGGUCAGUAAUGUACUUGCGUUGAGAGAGUAGAAUACCAUGUUUGUGAGGAAGAACUUCAACACCCAAGAAGUAGGACAAAUUGCCAAGAUCUUUAAGAGAAAAACGUUUGGCAAGACUGGAAACAAAAACUGAUAGAAUGUUGUCACUGCUGCCUGUGACAAUAAUGUCAUCCACGUAAACCAGCAAAAACAGAACAUGUUGAGCACUGUGAAAUGUGAACAGAGAAGGAUCAGAGUAGGAAUUGCAGAAACCAGAAGCCAACAGAAAUGUGCGCAAUUCAUGAUACCAAGCCCGGGGCGCCUGUUUGAGUCCAUAAAUGGCCUUGUGAAGUUUGCAGACAAAUGACGGUUUGUCACGAUCAACAAAUCCAGGAGGUUGCACCAUGUAAACGGUUUCAGAGAGAUGACCUUGAAGGAAAGCAUUGUUGAUAUCCAGCUGUUUAAGUGACCAUCCGCGACUGACAGCAAGACUGAGUACCAAGCGGACAGUGGUUGGCUUCACAACGGGGCUGAAAGUCUCAUGAUAGUCUACACCGGGACGCUGGUGGAACCCUUUUGCAACAAGUCGUGCUUUAAAUCUGUUUAUGGAUCCAUCAGAAAGUCUUUUAAUGCGGUAAACCCACCUGCAACCAACAACGUUAGUGAUACCAUCAGGAGGAACAAGUUCCCAUGUGCCAUUGCAGACUAAAGCAUCAUAUUCCUCAGACAUGGCAGCUCGCCAGUUUGGAUCUUUAAGUGCCUGAGAGAGGAUGGAAGGUUCUGUUGGAGAGAUGACCGGUUUAGUAGUGUGAAGACUGAGUUUCUGGAUUGGUUUGUGGAUAUUAUUCCGGGACCGAGUGAUCAUGGGGUGUAGGGAAUGUUGUGGUGGUGGUGGAACAGGUAGAGAUGGAUCUUGAAGUGAAGGAUUAUGGUGAGAGGAUGAAGCAGUUACCUGUGAAGUAGAUAUGAUGGAAGGGAUUGCUCCAGCAUGUGUGGAAGGACUUGAUGAAGGGACCAUAGGAGGAGAUGCAUCUGCAUGGCAUUGUGAGGAAGGAGCAGAAGGAGCCAGUUGCUGUGGGGUUUGAGAUGAGACAGAAAUAGGUGAAGGCAUCCAGUCGGAAACGGGGGAAGGAAGAUUUGAAGGUGCAGUAGGAUAAGAUUUAUAAGGAAAAACUGACUCAACAAAUUGUACAUGCCGUGAAAUAUGUAGUUUGUUAUUGGAUUUGUCAAGGCAUAGAUAUGCACUUUGAGAAAGGGAGUAUCCAAGAAAAACACAGGGUUGAGAUUUCGACUCAAGUUUAUGAGAUGCAUAUGGACCUAACCAAGGAUAACAUAAACAACCAAACACUUUAAGUUUAGAAAAAUUGGGACUCUUGUGAAAAAUUGACUCGUAUGGUGAAGACAUGUUUAAUGUGGGAGUAGGCAUCCUGUUAAUUAGGUAAACGGCAGUGGUGAAGGCAUAAGUCCAAAAAGUAGUAGGGAUUGAGGCAUGAGAAAGAAGGGCAAGUCCAGUUUCGACAAUGUGAAGAUGUCGCCGUUCAGAAUAACCAUUAUGUUCAGGUGUAUGUGGUGGGGACGUGAGAUGACUAAUUCCAUGUUCGGAAAGAAAUGGUUUGAGAGCAAUGUAUUCACCACCAUUAUCAGAAUAAAGAGAAAUAAUGGUUUGUUGAAAAUAUUUUUCAACAAUUGCUUUGUAGCGUCGAAACACUAUUUGGACAUCAGAUUUGCGUUUUAAUGGAUAAAACCAAAUGUAUUUUGUAAAAUGAUCAACAAAAAUAACAUAGUAUUUAUAACCAUCGUGUGAAAUAAUAGGAGAAGUCCAAACAUCUGAAAAUACAACUUGAAGAGGACGCGUAGUGUGCAAAGUAGACACAGAAAAUGGUUGUUUAUGACUUUUAUUACUUAAGCAAGCAUCGCAACAAAAAUUCUUUUGAGAAGAAAAAUUUAAAUGAUAGAAGGACAUGAUAUGUUUAAGAAUUGUGGAGGCUGGAUGACCAAGGCGCUGGUGCCAAAUGGACAUUGUUGUUUUGACAGCAGAGAAGGCUAGAAUGGGAGGAGUAGAAGAGGUCGCAACUGGCCAUUCAUAAAUACCAUUCUUAGUGCCGCCCUGCAGAAGAAUGUCCCCCGUUUGUAGGUCCUUCACAUGAAAACAAUGAGGAAAAAGUUCAAUCGACACAUUGUUGGUGAUACAGAAUAAUGCAAUAGAUAUUAAAUUUUUUUGCAUUUUUGGAACACACAAAACAUCUUGUAAGUGGAAAGAAGAGUUAGAUGUGGGAAGGGAUACUGAACCAGUGUGACUUAUGGGAAGGUUGGUACCAUCGCCUAGUAUAACAUCAUCAUGACCAGUAUAUGGUGUAUGGAGGGAAAGAUUAUUGAGGUCGGCAGUAACAUGAUGGGAAGCACCACUAUCCAGUAACCAUGACGCAGCGGUGGAUGGUGAUGAAGAAGAAAAAUUGGCUUGAGGAUUCCAGGAGGAUGGCAUACCAUUGGAGGAGCUGGCAGAGUUAGAACCAUGAACAGGAACUAAUUGAAAAGAAGGACAACGUUUAGCGGUGUGUCCUUGAGUGCCACACAUCUGGCAGUAAUAGGACCAAGACGAGAGGAUUGUGACCGUGUUUGAAGUGAUGCUUCAAACAAGAGAAGUUUCUCAUGGAGUUCAUCAAAGGAGAUAGCAGCUUCGCGAGCUUGGACAGCCCGAACAAGUUCUGUGUAAUCUUCAUCUAAACCAUCAAGGAUCUGUUCAGUAAGAUCAUCAGUAUCCAUAGGAGCACCAAGAACAGUAAGUUCGUCAGAUUUUGCUUUAAUGAAGUGGACAAAAUCUGUGAUACUCAUAGAACCUUUUGUGAGAUUCUUUAACUGGUUUUUCACCUGGCGAAUACGUCCACGUGAUGGUUUAGCAUAUGUUGUGGCAAGAACAUGCCAAGCAUCAUAAGAAGAAGUGGUGCGGGCUACAAAGGAAAUAAGCGAAGGAGAAAGACUGCCAACAAUGGCAUUCAAGAGAAGUUGAUCUUGCCUUACCCAGAGACUAUAGGCAGGAUUAGGGACAGUGAUAUUAUCUGUUACAAGGGUUGGUGAGGGACACGGCUUGGAGCCAUCGAUGUAACCAAGAAGAUCGUAGCCAAUAAAUAGUGUUUCAAAUUGAAUUUUCCAAGAAGCAUAGUUGGAAGAGGUGAGUUUGAGAAGGGCUUGAGCAGCUGUGUUUAUGGUGAUAAGAUGGUUUUCUGUGUUUGAAGGAAUGGAAGUUGACAUGGUGAUGGGAAGAGGGAAGAAACAGAAUUGAAGAGGAAUGGAGAGAAAAAAGAGAAAAAAAAUAAAGGAUCAGAGACGCUCUGAUACCAUGAUAGAGCUGAAGCUUUUGGAAGAGAACUGCUUAAUUAUAUUAUUAAUAGACGACAUUUAUAUAGAUACAAACCUAACAGAGUUCUCUACGUUGCAGGAAGACUAAUCCUUUAGAAAUACAAGUUGUUGCAGUAAUGGAGUCCUAAUGAAUAACAAACUGUAAGAGCAGUAAUGAAGUCCUAAUGAAUAACAAAUUGUAAGAGCUAUACAUUGAUUUAUCAGAUAAAUCUUGAUCCCCGAUGAGAUUAGCCUUGGUAUAAACAUGCAUGAUAUGCACAAUGGGAGUUUCUUUCUUUCCUUUUCCCUUAAGGAUCCUCAAAGUACAUUCUUGUUAUAUAAGAAAGAAAAAGAAGCAAAAAAUGUUUUCGUGCCGGCACAUCGCAUCAAGCAUAAAGGCAGCAGCACAGUUCUGCCGCCUUAUAUUAUUCCCAAAGGGGCCAGCCUUGCCGAUCGAUAUGUUUCUGAAACUACCUAGCAAGGGCACCACUAUCUAUUCAACUUUUCUAUUAAUUGAUGAAAGUGUACGUAUAUAUAUCAUAAACACUUGAUUUCUUCAACACAGCUCUUGAUGGACCUGCCAUGCCAGGCCAUGAGAAACAUGAUUAAAAGAUCGGUAGAAGAAAUGUGCCCAUCACUUGGAAAUUAGAUUGGAAAGUUGAUUUGAUGAAGCAUCAGCAAG
rnacentral:lncRNA from 1 species